AGAGUUUGAUCAUGGCUCAGGAUCAACGCUGGCGGCGUGCCUAACGCAUGUAAGUCGAACGCAGUGCCUUCGGGUGCUGAGUGGCGAACGGCUGAGGAACACGUACGAACCUGCCCGCUUGUGGGGAAUAACGCGCCGAAAGGUGUGCUAAUACCGCGUACGCUCAUCCGGAAGGAUGAGGAAAGCCUUUGGGCGCAGACAGCGGGGCGUGCGGCCCAUCAGGUGGUUGGUGGGGUAAUGGCCUACCAAGGCGACGAUCAGUAGCUGGUCUGAGAGGAUGAUCAGCCACAUUGGGACUGAGACACGGCCCAAACUCCUACGGGAGGCAGCAGUGGGGAAUUUUGGGCAAUGGGCGAAAGCCUGACCCAGCAACGCCGCGUGAAGGAUGAAGUAUUUCGGUAUGUAAACUUCGAAAGAAUGGGAAGAAUAAAUGACGGUACCAUUUAUAAGGUCCGGCUAACUACGUGCCAGCAGCCGCGGUAAUACGUAGGGACCAAGCGUUGUUCGGAUUUACUGGGCGUAAAGGGCGCGUAGGCGGCGUGUUAAGUCAGCUGUGAAAUCUCCGAGCUUAACUCGGAACGGUCAGCUGAUACUGAUGUGCUAGAGUGCAGAAGGGGCAAUCGGAAUUCUUGGUGUAGCGGUGAAAUGCGUAGAUAUCAAGAGGAACACCUGAGGUGAAGACGGGUUGCUGGGCUGACACUGACGCUGAGGCGCGAGAGCUAGGGUAGCAAACGGGAUUAGAUACCCCCGUAGUCC
rnacentral:rRNA from 1 species